GUCCACGCCGUAAACGAUGAGUGCUAGGUGCUGCGGGUAUUGACCCCUGCGGUGCCGUAGCUAACGCGUUAAGCACUCCGCCUGGGGAGUACGGCCGCAAGGCUAAACUCAAAGGAAUUGACGGGGGCCCGCACAAGCGGUGGAGCAUGUGGUUCAAUUCGACGCAACGCGCAGAACCUUACCUGGGUUAAAUCCACUGGAACCUUGCAGAGAUGCGGGGGUGCUCUUCGGAGAGCCAGUGAGAAGGUGCUGCAUGGCUGUCGU
rnacentral:rRNA from 1 species